rnacentral:sRNA from 1 species
GCUGGGCAGAGAGGUGCAUGCCUGUAAUCCCAGCCACUUGGGAGGCUAAGGCAUGAGGAUUGCAAAUGUGAGGCCAGCCUCAGCAACUUAGUGAGGCCCUAAGCAACUUCGAGAGAUCCUGUCUCAA